rnacentral:rRNA from 1 species
GAUGAACGCUGGCGGCGUGCCUAAUACAUGCAAGUCGAGCGAACAGACGAGGAGCUUGCUCCUCUGACGUUAGCGGCGGACGGGUGAGUAACACGUGGAUAACCUACCUAUAAGACUGGGAUAACUUCGGGAAACCGGAGCUAAUACCGGAUAAUAUAUUGAACCGCAUGGUUCAAUAGUGAAAGACGGUUUUGCUGUCACUUAUAGAUGGAUCCGCGCCGCAUUAGCUAGUUGGUAAGGUAACGGCUUACCAAGGCAACGAUGCGUAGCCGACCUGAGAGGGUGAUCGGCCACCCUGGAACUGAGACCCGGUCCCGACUCCUACGGGAGGCAGCAGUAGGGAAUCUUCCGCAAUGGGCGAAAGCUUGACGGAGCAACGCCGCGUGAGUGAUGAAGGUCUUCGGAUCGUAAAACUCUGUUAUUAGGGAAGAACAAAUGUGUAAGUAACUAUGCACGUCUUGACGGUACCUAAUCAGAAAGCCACGGCUAACUACGUG